rnacentral:rRNA from 1 species
GACGAACGCUGGCGGCGUGCUUAACACAUGCAAGUCGAACGGAAAGGCCCUGCUUUUGUGGGGUGCUCGAGUGGCGAACGGGUGAGUAACACGUGAGUAACCUGCCCUUGACUUUGGGAUAACUUCAGGAAACUGGGGCUAAUACCGGAUAGGAGUUCCUGCUGCAUGGUGGGGGUUGGAAAGUUUCGGCGGUUGGGGAUGGACUCGCGGCUUAUCAGCUUGUUGGUGGGGUAGUGGCUUACCAAGGCUUUGACGGGUAGCCGGCCUUAGAGGGUGACCGGCCACAUUGGGACUGAGAUACGGACCAGACUCCUACGGGAGGCAGCAGUGGGGAAUAUUGCACAAUGGGCGGAAGCCUGAUGCAGCAACGCCGCGUGCGGGAUGACGGCCUUCGGGUUGUAAACCGCUUUCGCCUGUGACGAAGCGUGAGUGACGGUAAUGGGUAAAGAAGCACCGGCUAACUACGUG